rnacentral:rRNA from 1 species
CAAGAUCGUGAGAUGGAGCAAAUCCCAGAAAUAACGUCCCAGUUCGGAUUGUAGUCUGCAACCCGGCUACAUGAAGCUGGAAUCGCUAGUAAUCGCGGAUCAGAAUGCCGCGGUGAAUACGUUCCCGGGUCUUGUACACACCGCCCGUCACACCAUGGGAGCCGGAAAUGCCCGAAGUCAGUGACCUAACCGCAAGGAGGGAGCUGCCGAAGGUGGAGCUGGUAACUGGGGUGAAGUCGUAACAAGGUACC